ACCGACCUGAGAGGGUGUCGGUCACACUGACACUGAUAACGGUCAGACUCUACGGGAGGCAGCAGUCGGGAAUUUUGGGCAAUGGGCGAAAGCCUGACCCAGCAACGCCGCGUGAAGGAUGAAGUAUUUCGGUAUGUAAACUUCGUAAGAAUAGGAAGAAUAAAUGACGGUACUAUUUGUAAGGUCCGGCUAACUACGUGCCAGCAGCCGCGGUAAUACGUAGGGACCAAGCGUUGUUCGGAUUUACUGGGCGUAAAGGGCGCGUAGGCGGCGUGGUAAGUCAGCUGUGAAAUCUCCGAGCUUAACUCGGAACGGUCAGCUGAUACUGCUGUGCUAGAGUACAGAAGGGGCAAUCGGAAUUCUUGGUGUAGCGGUGAAAUGCGUAGAUAUCAAGAGGAACACCUGAGGUGAAGACGGGUUGCUGGGCUGAUACUGACGCUGAAGCGCGAAAGCUAGGGUAGCAAACGGGAUUAGAUACCCCGGUAGUCCUAGCCCUAAACGAUGAAUGCUUGGUGUCUGGAGUUUUAAGUCU
rnacentral:rRNA from 1 species